GUUGGAUUCGGGGCCGUAGCACUGUCUGAGAGGUGUAUAUUUCUCACAGUGAACCGGUCUCUUUUUCAGC
ensembl:miRNA Mir128 microRNA mir-128